UUUUCUCCUUUCUUCUUCUUCUUCUCUUCCCUUCACCGCCAAGUUUGAAGACAUCCAAGUUCCCUUUAUUUUUUUGUUCUUUUUCCUUCUUCAAUUUGCAGAGAACUUCUAAGAGAGAGUUUGGAAGAAGAAGAGAAAUUUUACUAGAAUUUUUAGGUUGAAGAAGAGGAGGAGAACUCAAGCAAAGUGUAUCAAUGGCUGAAUUUUAGUUCAUUCUGCACAUCACUGGUUUUUAAUUCGGUUUGAACUCUUCAAAAGGAAUUAAGAGGGCAGUUGGUUUUCACUCGAAAUCAGGAGGUCUCUGGUUUUUCUUGUAUUUCAGAGUGUAUCGGUGGAGUUAGAAUUUAUAUUUGGAACAAGUUAAAGAGGUCGUGUGCGCGCGAUUCUGGAAGUGGUUCUGUUUUGAGGGUUAUAUGUGUUUAUGCACGGGGAAUCAGAUUUAUAUGUCUUCAGGUAAGUUUUAGAGGAUCUCAAAAUGAAGAGUUUGAUAUAAAGAACACUCAUUUUGGUUAAGUAUUGAGAAAGUUAUAGUUCUUUGAAGUUUAUGUUAGAAAUCUGGAAAUUUUAGAGAAUUGUUGAAAUAGGAUUUUAUUUCUUAAGCUUUGUUUUCGAGCGUCAUCUUUGGUGCGACAUGUUAUGUAUAUCUUUAGGAAACCAGAAUGUUUAAGGUUUUAAUACUCGGUUGGGUUGUUGGCAGGCCGAGAAGAAUUAAACCGAGCUUAUAGACCAAGGAUCUAGCCCAAGACGGUAGAGAUCGACUUCCCGGUGCCUGAUAGACUGCCUUAGUCUGCGGAAGCUUCAUUAUCGAUUGCCAGUACGUGUUUUGAGUUGGGCAUAAAGUCUGUUGUGUUGUGAUGUAUUCACACCCUUGUAUGUUAUAGAUACUCCACAGUUUGUAUAAGCUUUAGGAGCUGUAGUUGUGUAAAUUUUGUUGGUUAUAUUUUGAUUAAGGUGUCUUUAGGUUUACUCGUGAAAUCGGUAAAUUUGAGGUACACUUCAUGUAUGUGUUUGACUAGCUGUGUUUGACUAGCCUAGGAUCCGCUGUGUUUUGUGGCAUGUACAAUAGUUUAUAUACUAGAUUGGCAAGUUCAUCACAUGAAA